AGCCAUAAGAAAAACACUAACAGAGAUUCUUGGUCCUAGUUUGGGUUCACAGAACAGUGAUGUCAUUUUAAGAGCUUCCUAUGUCACAGCCAGAAUAGAAAUGACAACUCCAGCAUCCGCAUGUGUCUUCCCCGCCUCGCCCUCCAUAGUCUCACACUGUCACCAGGCUGGCGUGUAGUGGCGCAAUCUCGGCUCACUGCAACUUCCACCUCCCGGAUUCAAGCAAUUCUUCUGCCUCAGCCUCCUGAGUAGCUGGGACUACAGGUGCGCGCCACCAUGCCCAGCUAAUUUUUGUAUCUUUAAUAGAGACGGGGUUUCACUGUGUUGGCCAGGAUGGUCUCCAUCUCUUGACCUUGUGAUCUGCCCACCUCGGCCUCCCAAAGUGCUGGGAUUAUAGGCAUGAGCCACUGCACCCGGCCCUAAACCAUUUUUUUUUUUAAGUUGGCAGGGCAGCAAGCCCAGGGUGUAGACUGAUGAGACAAGGUCCCUCUGAAAUAGCUCUCAUGGCUCUCCUUGUCUUUCCCACAAACAGAACAGAAGCUAAAGCAGAAAGAAGUUUAAUGGAGACCUGGAAGCCUCUCCGUAAAGACUCUGGGGCAGGAAUGGGAUCUGUUUGCAGGGCUCAGGGAGGACCCACGGCUCCUGUGGAGGCUUACGCGGCACCUGAGAAGUGAUCAGUCAGGAAGAGCUACCUGGAGUACCUGAGCCCAACCAGAUAUUCUUUUCCCCGCCGUCUUCCCCGGGAUCCAGCAAUUUAUAUUCCCUACCUCAGGAAAUCUUGGAAAAGUUAUUCCAGCAGAAUGAAGCAAUGUACUAUUCCAGCAGAACAUAGUCAGGACCUGGUGACGUGGGGGUUUGGCAAUGAUCAAUGACCCUGGUGUCAUACUCUAAAUUUGUUUCAAAAGUGGCAGCAGGGGAGAAGGAGGCAGUGAAAUCAAUACUUGAAGUUUGUCUUGAUUGGAUGGGGUGUGUGUUUUCUUUUCCACCCUAGUUGUUGUUGAAGCUGUUUACCAAAAGGCUGUGCAAAUAGGAUUAGUCAGCUCCAGGGCCAUUAAUAACCCGCUGGACAGAGCUGGCUCCAUUCCAAUUGAUUUUUGAAUUUUUGAAGCUGUCCAUUUUUUUGGAGCAGAGAUGAAAGCCCCAGAGGGGCUGGUAUGAAAGCAUGAGAUUUUUGCCUGUACUGGGGCUGAUCCCACAGAUGCAGGAGAUGAAACGUUCUUCCAGUGCCAUUUGCUUUCCAUCUGAAUGAGGCAGGUCCUGCGGCAGCUCUGAAGAGGCAGGGGCCAUCACAAACGAAUAUUGCAGCAGGUCAAGGGGACACUGCUAUUGUGUGCACACUGAUGGAGACCCAGAGUAAAACGUGGCCUGAGGUUUGCCAGAAUGUGCUUAAGAAGCAAACCUCACAUACCUGAAACUCUCUUCGUGCCCUCCUGUCCUUCCAAAAACUAUCAGUUCGAAUAUCCUGAGAAAUGUCACAUAGGUAAGCUGUAGGACCAUCCUUGAGAGGUUGCUGUUGGUAAAAACCAAUGGGGCCAGAAAACAUGAAUUUAUAUCCCAGCACUCUGGGCUAUAACUUUGAGCAAAUUAAUCUCUCUGAUAUUCUAUUAUAGCAAUUGUGAAUUGACAAUGUCAUCAUAGCCCAUUUCUUAUUUCUGAAAAAGUGCUUUUUCUGGAUCUCAUUCACUUAAGAACUCAAAUUCUAAACAUGGAGACCAUCAGAGCCAAGGUCCUUGUUAAAAGAAAUGUAUGUUUUAUAUAUUAAAGUUUAAAAGAAAUAUACA
rnacentral:lncRNA from 1 species